GUGAAAUCCAUUUGGAAAGCUAAAAGUUAAAAGAAGGCUAGUAUGUAAGAUGUGACUCUACCUUGAGAUUGGAGGCAUUCAGUUUUGGAAUUGUCUUUCAACAAUACUGUUAUACAAGUCCAGUUCAUUUAAAUCAGGCUUGAAGAAGAGACACUUCUAGUGAGUUAUGUCUGCAUAUUCAGUGGGGCAAAAGAUGACAGAGUGACUUAUUCAGAUUGCUGGUUUGAAAUGUCAACUGCCAUCUAUUAUUUUGGAGCUGACAUAAAGAUGGGAACAGAAUAGAAUGAAGAUCCAUGAAGCCAUGGGGCUAAAGUAGAAGAUGUGCAAGCAAAUAUCCAUCAAAGAGAGAAGGUGGGUGUCAGAGAAAGAGAUAUAGGAACACUUGGGCAUGGAAACCGCUGUAUAGGAAUUGUGUUCCCCUCCACUGCAUUCUAAAGUACAGGGCUGAGUGUUGGAUAUAAAAAUGAUUAAACGCCAAGACAAAGCACUGUCUGAUCUUCAGUCAGAGAGGCAGGCGCUUGGAUUCUCAUGAAUAUUCUUCAAAAGAAAGAAGAAGAAGCUGCAGAAUCUUUUCACAUCAUUUAUUUGUUUGUCUGACUUCACCAACAUAUUUUUAGAUCUGGCAUUAUCCCAAUGCACUUUACUUUAAAAAAAAAAAAGAGAGAGAGAGAGAGAGAGAGAGAGAGAGAGAGAGAGAGAGAGAGAGAGAGAGAGAGAGAAAUCCAAGUAAUGGUACGAGGCAUCAGCUCUGAGCUCCCCAUACCGAUGUUCAGUUCCCAUGGAACACCAAUACUGGCAACAAAAGAAAUCAUAAAGAAAUGUGACAGAAGCAUUCUGCCUUUGGCUUUCUGACAACUGUUAUUUCACAGAUUUUUUUUCUCUGCUUUCCCAGAAGGACGUAUAAGGGCUGCCUCAGUGUGAACUGGUCAAAGGUGGUGUGAAUGAUUCUAAAUAAAGUCAGAGGAUGCAGAAUAGCUUCACAGCUGCUGUUGCUAGAGUUAAUGGUAUGAUGCAGAGUCCACUCAUACAAAUCUCUUAGGUCUUUUGGAGUGGUCAAGGACAAGGCCAGUCCUACUAUUAGGUAAAAUGAAAUGGGUAGUGCAACAAGGUCUUAGAGGAGAAAGGUAUAUGUCAGCUCUUCUAUUACCAGUAUUGGGAAAAAUGAUUUUCGCAACAAGCUUUUUGAGUAUAGAGUCAAGGCAAAAGAAGUCUUGUUCUUUCGGCUGUUUCACACACCUAAAUCAUAGCACUAUGAUUCUUUUAAAUCACCAUGUCUGUUUUCUGUGGAAUUCUGGGACUAAUAGUUUAAUGAGUCCUUUUUGGUAGAAACUUCCAAAUAUACCUCCCCAAACGGCAAAACUCAAGAUUCUUCAUGAGAUUGCCCUGGCAGCACCAUAACACUAUGACUAUGUAGUGUGAAAUGACUUCUUGUCUUGAGCCAGCCCCAUGUGUAAAAGUUUGAAUUCUUGUAUGAUGCUAUUGAAAGCCCUCAUUCAGCACUAACAUCCCAUUGUUAUAUGAAUGUUGUUGUUCAUGCUAUGUGAAAAUGGGGAGAAAAAGCAUGUAAUCUAGGUUAUUUCAAAUUUUACAUAUAUAUCUUAAAGCAGUGAUUCUCAACCUGGGGUCCCCAGAUGUCUUUGGCCUUCAACUCCCAGAAAUCCUGACAGCAGGUAAACUGACUGGGAUCUCUGGGAAUUGUAGGCCAAAAUCAUCUGGGGACACCAGGUUGAGAACCACUGUUUUAAAGAAAUGUGACAUUCAGCACAAUGCAGUUAACAUGUAACAAAAGUGAUGGAUGGGCAAAGACUGUUCACAUCUAUAAUACUGAUAUCAGCCCACAUCUAUACCUGGUUCAUGCUUGCUUUCAUUGUGUAUGUGUUUUUAAGAGGAUUAAAUUACUUUUAUUUGCUCCCACUGCACCCCAAACAUGUAUAACUUUGUACUCAUGUUUUAAUCUGCAAAAACUGUUUGACCUUAGUUGACCUAGAUGCUGUUUAAAAGCACUCAUUUUCCUGUGUGGACUUUUCCAAUGUUACUUUUUUGUUGAAACACACCCUCAGAUAUCUGUCCAUGUAUUUUAAUAUAUGCAUUUCAUUGCAUGUAUUUAUGGUGAUAGGUUUUGACCAGAGGCGGUUCAACCACCAGGCCAACUAGGCAGUUGCCUGUGGCGCCAUCCUGUUGGGGGCGCCAUCGAGGCAACUCCUGUCUCCUGCGGCCUGCCUCCGCAAGGUAUUGAACUGCUUUUUCUGUUGAUUUGUUGUAAAACAUGAUGUUUUAGUGCUUAAUUUGUAAAAUCUUAAUGUAAUUUGAUGUUUAAUAGGCUUUUCCUUAAUCCCUCCUUAUUAUCAAACAUUUUCGCUUAUCCAAUGCUUUUAUUUUUCAGUGAUUGGUUUGGGGGGGGGGGGGGCAAAAUUCUGUUCACCUACACUUGAAAAAUACCUAGGGCCAGCUCUGGUUUUGACUAUGUUGUGACCCGCCUAAAGCUGUGAGGAGAGAUGGAUACCAAAUAAAAUUGAUGAUGAUGAUGAUGA